rnacentral:rRNA from 1 species
UAAACUUCUUUUAUUAAGGACGAAAAAUGACGGUACUUAAUGAAUAAGCUCCGGCUAACUACGUGCCAGCAGCCGCGGUAAUACGUAGGGAGCAAGCGUUGUCCGGAUUUACUGGGUGUAAAGGGUGCGUAGGCGGCUUUGCAAGUCAGAUGUGAAAUCUAUGGGCUCAACCCAUAAACUGCAUUUGAAACUGUAGAGCUUGAGUGAAGUAGAGGCAGGCGGAAUUCCCCGUGUAGCGGUGAAAUGCGUAGAGAUGGGGAGGAACACCAGUGGCGAAGGCGGCCUGCUGGGCUUUAACUGACGCUGAGGCACGAAAGCGUGGGUAGCAAACAGGAUUAGAUACCCUGGUAGUCCACGCUGUAAACGAUGAUUACUAGGUGUGGGGGGUCUGACCCCUUCCGUGCCGGAGUUAACACAAUAAGUAAUCCACCUGGGGAGUACGGCCGCAAGGUUGAAACUCAAAGGAAUUGACGGGGGCCCGCACAAGCAGUGGAGUAUGUGGUUUAAUUCGAAGCAACGCGAAGAACCUU